UUUUUGGUGAGUUCCUAAUUAACCCUUUUGUUCAGGUUACAUUCAUUUUCAGUCUGGUUAUAGUCUUUCCCUGAUUUAUCUUGCGGCGAAAUUUAUAUUUUCUUUGUAUUGUACAUGACCAAACCAUCUAAGCUGACUUCUCCUCAUUUCCACCUAAGUAAUGAUUAUCAGAACUAAUUGGAGGCAUAAAAAAGGCAUCUUAUAUUGAUUACCCCGUUUCUUAUAAAUGAAUUUCCAAUAUACCCUCUACCAUCCUUUUGUUUUCUCCAUUUAUCUUCUAGACUGCAUAAAAAAU
rnacentral:lncRNA from 1 species